rnacentral:rRNA from 1 species
GACGAACGCUGGCGGCGUGCUUAACACAUGCAAGUCGAACGGAAAGGCCCUGCUUUUGUGGGGUGCUCGAGUGGCGAACGGGUGAGUAACACGUGAGUAACCUGCCCUUGACUUUGGGAUAACUUCAGGAAACUGGGGCUAAUACCGGAUAGGAGCUCCUGCUGCAUGGUGGGGGUUGGAAAGGUUCGGCGGUUGGGGAUGGACUCGCGGGUUAUCAGCUUGUUGGUGGGGUAGUGGCUUACCAAGGUUUUGACGGGUAGCCGGCAUGAGAGGGUGACCGGCCACAUUGGGACUGAGAUACGGCCCAGACUCCUACGGGAGGCAGCAGUGGAGAAUAUUGCACAAUGGGCGGAAGCCUGAUGCAGCAACGCCGCGUGCGGGAUGACGGCCUUCGGGUUGUGAACCGCUUUCGCCUGUGACGAAGCGUGAGUGACGGUAAUGGGUAAAGAAGCACCGGCUAACUACGUG